rnacentral:rRNA from 1 species
GACGAACGCUGGCGGCGUGCUUAACACAUGCAAGUCGAACGGUAAGGCCCUUCGGGGUACACGAGUGGCGAACGGGUGAGUAACACGUGGGUGAUCUGCCCUGCACUUCGGGAUAAGCCUGGGAAACUGGGUCUAAUACCGGAUAGGACCACUGCCUGCAUGGGUGGUGGUGGAAAGCUUUUGCGGUGUGGGAUGGGCCCGCGGCCUAUCAGCUUGUCGGUGGGGUGAUGGCCUACCAAGGCGACGACGGGUAGCCGGCCUGAGAGGGUGACCGGCCACACUGGGACUGAGAUACGGCCCAGACUCCUACGGGAGGCAGCAGUGGGGAAUAUUGCACAAUGGGCGCAAGCCUGAUGCAGCGACGCCGCGUGAGGGAUGACGGCCUUCGGGUUGUAAACCUCUUUCAGCACCGACGAAGCGCAAGUGACGGUAGGUGCAGAAGAAGGACCGGCUAACUACGUGCCAGCAGCCGCAGUAA